AGCUCCAAUAGCGUAUAUUAAAGUUGUUGCAGUUAAAAAGCUCGUAGUUGGAUUUCUGGGCGGAGCGACCGGUCCGCCGCUGUGCGGUGUGUACUUGUGUUCGACUCGGCUCAUCCUUGCGGGGAAGCGUCUUUCCGGCAUUAAUUUGUCGGGGCGGGGAACCGCAUCCUUUACUGUGAAAAAAUUAGAGUGUUUAAAGCAGGCAAAUCGCUGUGAAUACAUUAGCAUGGAAUAAUAACAUAGGACUUUGGUUCUAUUUUGUUGGUUGGAGGCCAAGGUAAUGAUUAAUAGGGACAGUUGGGGGUAUUCAUAUUUAAUUGUCAGAGGUGAAAUUCUUGGAUUUAUGAAAGAUGAACUCAUGCGAAAGCAUUUACCAAGGAUGUUUUCA
rnacentral:rRNA from 1 species